GCCAGCAGCACCCGCGGGCUGCACAUCCCACGAGCAUCACGGCAGCGCUCCGGGGUUCCGUCUUUGCCGAAUGCUGCUUCUCCAGAUCUUCUGCAAAGCUCACCUCGAUCUCCGCAAAAACCUUCCCCUCGUCCACGUGGCCGCCGUCCUCCACCAGGACAGGAGCACAUCCAUGACCCCUUGAGAAUCGCUGUGGCUGGUUUGGGGGGAGCGUGGCCCUGCCCUCACCUGCAGAAUGUACUUCACACCCUCAUAGAUGAGCUCCACAUCAACGAUGUUCAGCAGGGAGGCUGCUGGCAGCACCUGGCCCCUGAAACACAAUGGAGGGAUCAGGCCCCAGGCAUUCCCAGCCUCUCCAAGUAUGUGGGAUGUCAGCAGUGCUCCCUCCUGGACAGAGGGCAUGACGGUGACCAGAGGGGACAAGUGUCAGCUUUAAGUGACCCACGUGAGCACCAUGCACAGCCGGAUCUGGAGGGAGGCCAGGCACUGGGAAAACACUCAGAUAAGGUGCAUGGGAGAGCCCUGGGCGUCCUCCAAGGCCGGAGGAAUAACCUUGAUAUUAAACAACAAAAGCAAGCUGCACAGCCAAGCCACUUCCCCUUGAAAGCUGUUUUCCCAGCCAUGGGAAGCCUUUCCUAAUGUCCAGACAAAGUGAUAGCUGAGGAGCCAGAGCUGUGAGCCACACUGUCGCUGCCUGUCACAGCACUACUCUCACUAAAUUUGCAAAGCAAAAACGAAAGGAAGAUGUCCCAGAAGAGCAACACUCAUGUCUCCAUUGUGGCUGCCCCAAUCCUGGAAGUGCUCAAGGCCAGGUUGGACAGGGCUCCGAGCAACCUGAUCUGGUGAAAGGUGUGCCUGCCCAUGGCAAGUGGUGGAAUGGGGUGAUGUGUCAGUUCCCUUCCAACCCAAACCCAAAUUCUGGGAUCAAGUGCUUGUUCGUGCUGUUCCAUCCUUGGAAGGGUCCAAGGCUAGGCUGGACGGAGGUUGGAGCAACCUGGGAUAGUGGAAGGUGGAUGAUCUCCAAGUCUCCUUCCAAGCCAAACCAUUCUGGGAUUAUGGGAUUCAAACCUGCUGUGCCAUCCCUGCAAGUACUCAAGGACAGGUUGGAUGGGGUUUGGAGCGACCUGGGAUAGAGGAAGGUGUCCCUGCCCAUGGGAAGGGGACUGGACUGGAUGGUCCCCGAGUUCCCUACCAAGCCAAACCAUUCUGGGAUUCCAUGGAAAAGGAUUAUCAGCAGAAGC